rnacentral:lncRNA from 1 species
GGAUGAGUCAGUAGCAGAGCCUGCCGUUGGAGGGAAAACAAGACACGGUUAACCCUCGGUGAUUCCAGCAGCAAGCAGGCACUAUUGCAUUCUCUGCAGCUCCUGAAAGUACUUCCCUCUCAGAGGUGCAAGGAAGCAGAGGAGCAAGAACAGCAAAGAACGGAGACGUGUGUGACGCACAGGCUCCCUGACAUGUGUCUCCCAGGAAGACGUGUGUAAUGAGCAGGCUACCUGAGGGACAUGGCAACCUUGAGAGCAACUUUCCUCAAAGUGAAUCUGCUAUAAACUGAUGAUCAAUACAUGAAGAAUAACUAGGCACCAAAAAUAAAGCCACUCUUAACUUCUGGAAAAACA